rnacentral:rRNA from 1 species
GUACCCGCUGAACUUAAGCAUAUCAGUCAGCGGAGGAAAAGAAACCAACAGGGAUUGCCCUAGUAACGGCGAGUGAAGCGGCAAACAAGCUCAGAUUUGGAAUCUAGUCUGCCUUGUGUAGGCUCGAGUUGUAAUCUGCAGAGGGUGCCUCAGGUAUAGUUCCCCGCCGAGUUCCCUGGAAUGGGACGCCCCAGAGGGUAAGAGCCCCGUGAGGUGGGUGAGCAGGCCUAUCAGAGUCCCCUUCGAAGAGUCGCGUAGCUUGGGAAUGCUGCGCAAAGUGGGAGGUAUACCCCUUCUAAAGCUAAAUACCGGCUGGAGACCGAUAGCGCACAAGUAGAGUGAUCGAAAGAUGAAAAGCACCUUGAAAAGGGGGUUAAACAGUACGUGAAAUUGUUGAAAGGGAAGCGCCCGUGGUCAGACUCGUGCUCUGAGGAUCAGCCUGCUCUCCGCCGGCGUACUCCUCAGAGUUCGGGCCAGCGUCGGCUCGCGUCCGGGGUCUAAAGAUGUUGGGAAUGUGGCUCCCCCCUUCCCGGGGGAGCGUUAUAGCCUGAUGUAUAAUGCCCUGGGGUGGGCCGAGGUCUGCGCCUCCGCAAGGACGCUGGCGUAAUGACCACCGGCGGCCCGUCUUGAAACACGGACCAAGGAGUCGUCCUCGCAUGCGAGUGUUUGGGUGUAAAGCCCUUACGCCAAAUGAAAGUGAAUGUUGGUAGGAGCUUCGGCGCACUAUCGACCGAUCCUGAUGUUCUCGGAUGGAUUUGAGUAGGAGCAUGCUGGGCCGGACCCGAAAGAGGGUGAACUAUGCGUAUCUAGGUUGAAGCCGGGGGAAACCCCGGUGGAGGACCGCAGCGGUUCUGACGUGCAAAUCGAUCGUCAAAGACGCGCAUGGGGGCGAAAGACUAAUCGAACCUUCUAGUAGCUGGUUUCCGCCGAAGUUUCCCUCAGGAUAGCAGUGUCGAUCUCAGUUUUAUGAGGUAAAGCGAAUGAUUAGGGACUCGGGGGCGACGUACUGCCUUCAUCCAUUCUCAAACUUUAAAUAUGUAAGAAGCCCCUGUUACUUAACUGAACGUGGGCGCUCAAUGUACGACACUAGUGGGCCAUUUUUGGUAAGCAGAACUGGCG